AUUGAACGCUGGCGGAAUGCUUUACACAUGCCAGUCGAGCGGCAGCACGGGGGCAACCCUGGUGGCGCUCGGCGAACGGGUGAGUAAUACAUCUGAACAUGCCCCUUCGUGGUGGAUAACGCUUCGAAAUAAGUGCUAUUACCGCAUACGUACUGCGGGGCAAAGCGGGGGAUCGCAAGAACCCGCGCGAUUGGCGUGGCCUAUGUCGGAUUAGCUAGUUGGUGGGGUAAAGGCCUACCAAGGCGACGAUCCGUAGCUGGUCUGAGAGGAUGAUCAGCCACACUGGGACUGAGACACGGCCCAGACUCCUACGGGAGGCAGCAGUGGGGAAUAUUGGACAAUGGGGGCAAGCCUGAUGCAGCCAUUCCGCGUGAAUGAAGAAGGCCUUCGGGUUGUAAAGCUCUUUCGGCGGGAAGGAAACGGCGAACGCUAACAUAGCUUGCUAAUGACGGUACCUGAAGAAGAAGCACCGGCUAACUCCGUG
rnacentral:rRNA from 1 species